CCUGUGAUUGCCUGUGGCUCUCCGUCAGACUGCAUGUGUCCUUUCCUAGUUCGCCAAGACUAAGAUGCAUUCCCAACCUACUGCUAAAUCAAGGGCCUCAGUGUCACUCCCAGGUCCUUGCUUGGAGCAGUCUCUCUACUGACUCCGAAGAUCGCACCACUGCUACACGGGCUAUCAAGUAACUAACUGCGUACCUGCCAUCGGCAUCAUCAGAACAGUCAGAGAAAAUAGUCUCCACUCACUAAUUACCUCCUAUAUAACAAUGUAGGCUUUCUGUAGUUCAGUAGUCUGCUCUCAUCAGCGACGUGCACUGGGAAGUUUCCAGGCUGUAAAAACUGGGAGCUCGAAUUCAUCUCCCCAAGUGUGACCCUUAGAUGCUUUAGUGAACAAAACACACAGGAAAAAAAAAAAAAAUACAAGAAAGCUGUUGUGUUUUUGUUUUCACAAAACUGUGAUUUUUUUUUCCAACUUCUGAAUGCUAUGAUGUCCCAGCGCGGGAAGCUAAUGCUGUGCCAAUAUACGAGGUUGUAUAAAACCAACCAACCUACACACAAACUUCUCAUAGGCACUGGAUAAAGAGAAGUGGAUGUUUGUUGACUCAAAUCAGUUUUUCAGAGAGGAAAUUUCACUGGGAAUGAAGAGGCGGGUAAAUUGGUUUGUUAUUUUUUAAAAACGUGCAUGUUUAAAAAAAAAAACGUUGAUUGCUUCAAAUUUCUGCUACUAACUUCAAGCUACAGGAGUUUGGCGGUAGUCACUUGAAGAUUUUUUUCCAAUUAUUUUCUUUUUGUUGUUAAAGCUGUACUUCAGUGAACAGAAACAUUGCCAAGCAAACUAAUGGCUGUAAAAGCGUAAAUUGCAUGUGUGGGAAUAAAUUACGGAGCCUCACUGCCAUGAGGUAUUGUACAAAGUUUUAAUACAUUUUGUAAAUAAAAUUGUAAAGAAAGAAUUCUGUUUCUGGGCUUUGACUGUUCAGAUUUUAUUGGGAUGCAGGUGCCAAGAGGUUAUUAUUCACCAAUUGACUUCCCACCAGAAGUUUCACCAAUGAUGUUUGGUCACCUUACUGGUGAUCUUCACCAACUAUUAUGCCUCUCCCCACCCCAACUGCAACUGCAGUCAGGUUCCAACUCCUAAUCUAAAUGGAAUGGGCCAUGAAGACCCUUGAUUAGGUCUGCCAGGAUCACCACCAGUGAGGUGGCAUCAACAAACAGCAAGAAGCAGGACUUCAGUUCAUAUGUUAAGGAGGAAAAGUUUGACUUCAAGACCUUCGCUCCUACUCAUCAUCUCCUCCACCCUCAGGGACCCUCUC
rnacentral:lncRNA from 1 species